rnacentral:tRNA from 1 species
ACGAGCGUAGCUCAAUUGGCAGAGCAGCGGAUUCCAAAUCCGCAGGUUGAAGGUUCAAUCCCUUCCGCUAGUA